CAGCCGCCACGGGAAUACGUAGGGUGCAAGCGUUAAUCGGAAUUACUGGGCGUAAAGCGUGCGCAGGCGGUUUGUUAAGACAGAUGUGAAAUCCCCGGGCUCAACCUGGGAACUGCAUUUGUGACUGGCAGGCUAGAGUAUGGCAGAGGGGGGUGGAAUUCCGCGUGUAGCAGUGAAAUGCGUAGAUAUGCGGAGGAACACCGAUGGCGAAGGCAGCCCCCUGGGCCAAUACUGACGCUCAUGCACGAAAGCGUGGGGAGCAAACAGGAUUAGAUACCCCGGUAGUCCCUGUCUCUUAUAC
rnacentral:rRNA from 1 species